UCAAUUAGAACUUUAUUUGGAUGAACCAAGACUUGACCGUGGUGCUCCACUCGACAUUCUUUCAUUUUGGAAGACUAAUGAGCAUAGAUACCCCGAGCUCUCUCUAUUGGCAAGGGACAUAAUGGCGGUUCCUAUUUCUACGGUUGCUUCGGAGAGUACUUUCAGUGUAGGUGAGAGAAUCCUUAACCAAUACCGAAGCACUCUUAAGCCUAACAAUGUGGAGGCUUUAGUUUGCACGCGUGAUUGGUUAUAUGGUAUCAAAGAUAGACAAUUACUAAUGUUAUAUUUCAACUUUUUUUGAUUAUUUAUUCGGAUAAUAGGUGAGGUUGGGUGUUCGUAAUGUUGCUUUUGUGGAUUAAUAUCAGUAUCUUUGAUCUGAUGUGUAUGACUAUUGGAUUUCCAUUCAUGUAUUAUUGGUUUUUUUUUAAGGUGAUGUUUUUUAAGGUGAGGUUUUAACCUUUUGGAUUCAAGAGGUGGGUUUCUCUAGUACGGAUGUUUUGUACAUGAUACAUUGUAAAUUUUUUUGGGCUAAAUUAUCAAAUUGGCAUUUUGGCAGGAGUCUAUUCAAAUUAUGGCCACAUUUGAUUGCCUCAUGAAGACUUAUGGGUUCCUGGCACCAGACUGCAAAGAGUACAUGAAUAUACUGCAAAGAGUUAAAGAAGAGAGGGAACUAAAAUAAAUGCGGAAAAGAAGGAUAACUACAUGCUAUAUUAUUGUAUAAUGUCUACAUAUAUUUUCCUUUACUGCUCUUCAUUGCUUUUUGCGGUAGGAAACCCCCUUGACCAAUAUUUCCAGGUCCUUGUGAAGACAUUUUUCCUUGCGACAUGAUUUGGGACCGUCCAGAGCCUUGAACAAAUGAUGUAUUUUUGUUUGUCGAUAUUUGUAAUUUGUUGAAGUACAUUUAAAUACUGAAUACGUCUUUGAAAUAACUCCAUGUUGUGAGUAGUAAUAGUUUUUGUCUAAAGAGCUUGCAAAAA